CGCGCCGGCCCCGCCCAAUACCUGCAUAGUCGAACGAACUCUGUGUAUUGCAUUGGUGCUUGCAUCAUGCAUUUACAUUUGAGUGAGUGGCGAACUGGUGAGUAACACGUGGGAAACCUGCCCAGAAGCGGGGGAUAACACCUGCGAAACAGAUGCUAAUACCGCAUAACAACUUGGACCGCAUGGUCCGAGCUUGAAAGAUGGCUUCGGCUAUCACUUUUGGAUGGUCCCGCGGCGUAUUAGCUAGAUGGUGGGGUAACGGCUCACCAUGGCAAUGAUACGUAGCCGACCUGAGAGGGUAAUCGGCCACAUUGGGACUGAGACACGGCCCAAACUCCUACGGGAGGCAGCAGUAGGGAAUCUUCCACAAUGGACGAAAGUCUGAUGGAGCAACGCCGCGUGAGUGAAGAAGGGUUUCGGCUCGUAAAACUCUGUUGUUAAAGAAGAACAUAUCUGAGAGUAACUGUUCAGGUAUUGACGGUAUUUAACCAGAAAGCCACGGCUAACUACGUGCCAGCAGCCGCGGUAAUACGUAGGUGGCAAGCGUUGUCCGGAUUUAUUGGGCGUAAAGCGAGCGCAGGCGGUUUUUUAAGUCUGAUGUGAAAGCCUUCGGCUCAACCGAAGAAGUGCAUCGGAAACUGGGAAACUUGAGUGCAGAAGAGGACAGUGGAACUCCAUGUGUAGCGGUGAAAUGCGUAGAUAUAUGGAAGAACACCAGUGGCGAAGGCGGCUGUCUGGUCUGUAACUGACGCUGAGGCUCGAAAGUAUGGGUAGCAAACAGGAUUAGAUACUCUGGUAGUCCAUACCGUAAACGAUGAAUGCUAAGUGUUGGAGGGUUUCCGCCCUUCAGUGCUGCAGCUAACGCAUUAAGCAUUCCGCCUGGGGAGUACGGCCGCAAGGCUGAAACUCAAAGGAAUUGACGGGGGCCCGCACAAGCGGUGGAGCAUGUGGUUUAAUUCGAAGCUACGCGAAGAACCUUACCAGGUCUUGACAUACUAUGCAAAUCUAAGAGAUUAGACGUUCCCUUCGGGGACAUGGAUACAGGUGGUGCAUGGUUGUCGUCAGCUCGUGUCGUGAGAUGUUGGGUUAAGUCCCGCAACGAGCGCAACCCUUAUUAUCAGUUGCCAGCAUUAAGUUGGGCACUCUGGUGAGACUGCCGGUGAAAAACCGGAGGAAGGGGGGGAUGACGUCAAAUCAUCAUGCCCCUUAUGACCUGGGCUACCCACGGGCUACAAUGGAAGGGACAACAACUGCCAANUCCCAAAAUAACCUAUUUCUUAAACCCUUCCCCNNUCGGAUGUGGGGUUCAACUCCCCCACCUAAAAAACGGAAACCCUUUNNNUCNNGAAAAAAUUUGCGGGGGGGAAAANNUUCCCG
rnacentral:rRNA from 1 species